ACUCCUACGGGAGGCAGCAGUGGGGAAUAUUGCACAAUGGGGGAAACCCUGAUGCAGCCAUGCCGCGUGUGUGAAGAAGGCCUUCGGGUUGUAAAGCACUUUCAGUAGGAGGAAGGUAGUGUAGUUAACACCUGCAUUAUUUGUACGUUACCUACAGAAGAAGCACCGGCUAACUCCGUGCCAGCAGCCGCGGUAAUACGGAGGGUGCGAGCGUUAAAUCGGAAUUACUGGGCGUAAAGCGCAUGCAGGCGGCCUGUUAAGUCAGAUGUGAAAGCCCGGGGCUUAACCUCGGAAUUGCAUUUGAAACUGGCAGGCUAGAGUCUUGUAGAGGGGGUAGGAAUUUCAGGUGUAGCGGUGAAAUGCGUAGAG
rnacentral:rRNA from 1 species